GGGUUGUGAGGUUAAGCGACUAAGCGUACACGGUGGAUGCCCUGGCAGUCAGAGGCGAUGAAGGGCGUGCUAAUCUGCGAUAAGCGCCGGUAAGGUGAUAUGAACCGUUAUAACCGGCGAUACCCGAAUGGGGAAACCCAGUGUGAUUCGUCACACUAUCAUUAACUGAAUCCAUAGGUUAAUGAGGCGAACCGGGGGAACUGAAACAUCUAAGUACCCCGAGGAAAAGAAAUCAACCGAGAUUCCCCCAGUAGCGGCGAGCGAACGGGGAGGAGCCCAGAGCCUGAAUCAGCAUGUGUGUUAGUGGAAGCGUCUGGAAAGGCGCGCGAUACAGGGUGACAGCCCCGUACACAAAAGCGCAUGUGCUGUGAGCUCGAUGAGUAGGGCGGGACACGUGGUAUCCUGUCUGAAUAUGGGGGGACCAUCCUCCAAGGCUAAAUACUCCUGACUGACCGAUAGUGAACCAGUACCGUGAGGGAAAGGCGAAAAGAACCCCGGCGAGGGGAGUGAAAAAGAACCUGAAACCGUGUACGUACAAGCAGUGGGAGCNNNNNNNNNNNNNNNNNNNNNNNNNNNNNNNNNNNNNNNNNNNNNNNNNNNNNNNGGGCGUUAAGUUGCAGGGUAUAGACCCGAAACCCGGUGAUCUAGCCAUGGGCAGGUUGAAGGUUGGGUAACACUAACUGGAGGACCGAACCGACUAAUGUUGAAAAAUUAGCGGAUGACCUGUGGCUGGGGGUGAAAGGCCAAUCAAACCGGGAGAUAGCUGGUUCUCCCCGAAAGCUAUUUAGGUAGCGCCUCGUGAAUUCAUCUCCGGGGGUAGAGCACUGUUUCGGCUAGGGGGCCAUCCCGGCUUACCAACCCGAUGCAAACUGCGAAUACCGGAGAAUGUUAUCACGGGAGACACACGGCGGGUGCUAACGUCCGUCGUGAAGAGGGAAACAACCCAGACCGCCAGCUAAGGUCCCAAAGUCAUGGUUAAGUGGGAAACGAUGUGGGAAGGCCCAGACAGCCAGGAUGUUGGCUUAGAAGCAGCCAUCAUUUAAAGAAAGCGUAAUAGCUCACUGGUCGAGUCGGCCUGCGCGGAAGAUGUAACGGGGCUAAACCAUGCACCGAAGCUGCGGCAGCGACACUGUGUGUUGUUGGGUAGGGGAGCGUUCUGUAAGCCUGUGAAGGUGUGUCGUGAGGCAUGCUGGAGGUAUCAGAAGUGCGAAUGCUGACAUAAGUAACGAUAAAGCGGGUGAAAAGCCCGCUCGCCGGAAGACCAAGGGUUCCUGUCCAACGUUAAUCGGGGCAGGGUGAGUCGACCCCUAAGGCGAGGCCGAAAGGCGUAGUCGAUGGGAAACGGGUUAAUAUUCCCGUACUUGGUGUUACUGCGAAGGGGGGACGGAGAAGGCUAUGUUGGCCGGGCGACGGUUGUCCCGGUUUAAGCGUGUAGGUGUGUGUUCCAGGUAAAUCCGGUUCACUUUAACACUGAGGCGUGACGACGAGGCACUACGGUGCUGAAGCAACAAAUGCCCUGCUUCCAGGAAAAGCCUCUAAGCAUCAGGUAACAUCAAAUCGUACCCCAAACCGACACAGGUGGUCAGGUAGAGAAUACCAAGGCGCUUGAGAGAACUCGGGUGAAGGAACUAGGCAAAAUGGUGCCGUAACUUCGGGAGAAGGCACGCUGACACGUAGGUGAAGUGAUUUACUCAUGGAGCUGAAGUCAGUCGAAGAUACCAGCUGGCUGCAACUGUUUAUUAAAAACACAGCACUGUGCAAACACGAAAGUGGACGUAUACGGUGUGACGCCUGCCCGGUGCCGGAAGGUUAAUUGAUGGGGUCAGCGCAAGCGAAGCUCCUGAUCGAAGCCCCGGUAAACGGCGGCCGUAACUAUAACGGUCCUAAGGUAGCGAAAUUCCUUGUCGGGUAAGUUCCGACCUGCACGAAUGGCGUAAUGAUGGCCAGGCUGUCUCCACCCGAGACUCAGUGAAAUUGAACUCGCUGUGAAGAUGCAGUGUACCCGCGGCAAGACGGAAAGACCCCGUGAACCUUUACUAUAGCUUGACACUGAACAUUGAGCCUUGAUGUGUAGGAUAGGUGGGAGGCUUUGAAGUGUGGACGCCAGUCUGCAUGGAGCCGACCUUGAAAUACCACCCUUUAAUGUUUGAUGUUCUAACGUGGACCCGUUACCCGGGUUGCGGACAGUGUCUGGUGGGUAGUUUGACUGGGGCGGUCUCCUCCUAAAGAGUAACGGAGGAGCACGAAGGUUGGCUAAUCCUGGUCGGACAUCAGGAGGUUAGUGCAAUGGCAUAAGCCAGCUUGACUGCGAGCGUGACGGCGCGAGCAGGUGCGAAAGCAGGUCAUAGUGAUCCGGUGGUUCUGAAUGGAAGGGCCAUCGCUCAACGGAUAAAAGGUACUCCGGGGAUAACAGGCUGAUACCGCCCAAGAGUUCAUAUCGACGGCGGUGUUUGGCACCUCGAUGUCGGCUCAUCACAUCCUGGGGCUGAAGUAGGUCCCAAGGGUAUGGCUGUUCGCCAUUUAAAGUGGUACGCGAGCUGGGUUUAGAACGUCGUGAGACAGUUCGGUCCCUAUCUGCCGUGGGCGCUGGAGAACUGAGGGGGGCUGCUCCUAGUACGAGAGGACCGGAGUGGACGCAUCACUGGUGUUCGGGUUGUCAUGCCAAUGGCACUGCCCGGUAGCUAAAUGCGGAAGAGAUAAGUGCUGAAAGCAUCUAAGCACGAAACUUGCCCCGAGAUGAGUUCUCCCUGAGACUUAGAGUCUCCUGAAGGAACGUUGAAGACGACGACGUUGAUAGGCCGGGUGUGUAAGCGCAGCGAUGCGUUGAGCUAACCGGUACUAAUGAACCGUGAGGCUUAACCUUACAACGCCGAAG
rnacentral:rRNA from 1 species